rnacentral:misc_RNA from 1 species
AAGUCGUAACAAGGUUUCCGUAGGUGAACCUGCGGAAGGAUCAUUAACACGUAUCCAACGUUAAAAACCCCGUGAACCUUCAUCGCCGCUCCUCAUGGCUAAGUCUUGGAUAAAGCCAAACAGCAAUCCCUGCACUCGUCCGAGAAAAUGCAAGAGGAGGGACCUCUGUUUGACAGAGCACUAUGGGUUUAAGAGCGCUUGGUAAGGUGGCUUGUUUUUCCCCAAGCAGUCAGUGAAUGACAGUGUCGCUGAUUGUCUAAGGAUUUCGCUUUACGAUCACUGGAGGUUUCUAUUGCCGCUCCGCGCUAACACGCCGGGCAUUCAAAAACGUUUAAACAACUGUUAACAAUGGAUAUCUUGGUUCUC